rnacentral:rRNA from 1 species
UCGUAUGUUACCAUCAUUAAGUUGGGGACUCAUGCGAUACUGCCUGCGAUGAGCAGGAGGAAGGUGGGGAUGACGUCAAGUCAUCAUGCCCCUUAUACGCUGGGCUACACACGUGCUACAAUGGGUAGAACAGAGAGUUGCAAAGCUGUGAAGUGGAGCUAAUCUCAGAAAACUAUUCUUAGUUCGGAUUGUACUCUGCAACUCGAGUACAUGAAGUUGGAAUCGCUAGUAAUCGCGAAUCAGCAAUGUCGCGGUGAAUACGUUCUCGGGUCUUGUACACACCGCCCGUCACACCACGAGAGUUGGUUGCACCUGAAGUAGCAGGCCUAACCGUAAGGAGGGAUGCUCCGAGGGUGUGAUUAGCGAUUGGGGUGAAGUCGUAACAAGGUAUCCGUACGGGAACGUGCGGAUGGAUCACCUCCUUUCUAAGGA